GGAAAUCAGAGGACGGAACGGGCACCCGUCGCCCAUUGUUAGGAGAUGCGGGAAUGUCACCCCACCAGUUUCA
ncrna:unclassified sequences skipping-rope RNA